ACUGACCUUUGGUGUCACUGUUGAAAAUCUCAAGCCUAACUCGUGCACUAACCGCACCAUUCACAUCACAAGCCACAUCGUUCCUGACACGUCUUGAA